rnacentral:rRNA from 1 species
ACUCCUACGGGAGGCAGCAGUGGGGAAUAUUGCACAAUGGGCGCAAGCCUGAUGCAGCCAUGCCGCGUGUAUGAAGAAGGCCUUCGGGUUGUAAAGUACUUUCAGCAGUGAGGAAGGCGGGUGCGUUAAUAGCGUAUUCGUUUGACGUUAGCUGCAGAAGAAGCACCGGCUAACUCCGUGCCAGCAGCCGCGGUAAUACGGAGGGUGCGAGCGUUAAUCGGAAUUACUGGGCGUAAAGCGCAUGCAGGUGGUUCGUUAAGUCAGAUGUGAAAGCCCGGGGCUCAACCUCGGAAUUGCAUUUGAAACUGGCGGACUAGAGUACUGUAGAGGGGGGUAGAAUUUCAGGUGUAGCGGUGAAAAUGCGUAGAGAUCUGAAGGAAUACCGGUGGCGAAAGGCGGCCCCUGGACAGAUACUGACACUCAGAUGCGAAAAGCGUGGGGAAGC